rnacentral:other from 1 species
UGAUCCCUGCGGGGUUCGUGAUAGGUCUUUUUUAACCCACAUUUCGUUAUAAGGGAUGCCGGAUCAGGGUGUGGCUUGCAGGCCUCCCGGCUGCUGUUUGCGGCUGGAAGUUGGAAGCAGUAAAGCACUCUGGAGGCAACCCACCUGGCCUUGAAGGUGCAGGUUAUAACGAGAUCUACACGGCCACUGCGGGGAUUCU